UACGAAGGGGGCUAGCGUUGCUCGGAAUCACUGGGCGUAAAGCGCACGUAGGCGGAUUUCUAAGUCAGGGGUGAAAUCCUGGGGCUCAACUCCAGAACUGCCUUUGAUACUGGGAAUCUCGAGUCCGGGAGAGGUGAGUGGAACUGCGAGUGUAGAGGUGAAAUUCGUAGAUAUUCGCAAGAACACCAGUGGCGAAGGCGGCUCACUGGCCCGGUACUGACGCUGAGGUGCGAAAGCGUGGGGAGCAAACAGG
rnacentral:rRNA from 1 species